rnacentral:rRNA from 1 species
GAUGAACGCUGGCGGCGUGCCUAAUACAUGCAAGUCGAGCGAACAGACGAGGAGCUUGGUCCUCUGACGUUAGCGGCGGACGGGUGAGUAACACGUGGAUAACCUACCUAUAAGACUUGGAUAACUUCGGGAAACCGUAGUUAAGACCGGAUAAUAUAUUGAACCGCAUGGUUCAAUAGUUAAAGAGGUUUUGGCUGUCACUUAUAGAUGUAUCCGCGCCGCAUUAGCUAGUUGGUAAGGUAACGGCUUACCAAGGCAACGAUGCGUAGCCGACCUGAGAGGGUGAUCGGCCACACUGGAACUGAGACACGGUCCAGACUCCUACGGGAGGCAGCAGUAGGGAAUCUUCCGCAAUGGGCGAAAGCCUGACGGAGCAACGCCGCGUGAGUGAUGAAGGUCUUCGGAUCGUAAAACUCUGUUAUUAGGGAAGAACAAAUGUGUAAGUAACUAUGCACGUCUUGACGGUACCUAAUCAGAAAGCCACGGCUAACUACGUG